rnacentral:rRNA from 1 species
UACGUAGGGUGCGAGCGUUUAAAUCGGAAUUACUGGGGCGUAAAAGUGUGCGCAGGCGGCCGCGCAAGUCGAGUGUGAAAGCCCCGGGCUUAACUUGGGAAUUGCGCUCGAAACUACGUGGCUAGAGUGUGGGCAGAGGGGAGGUAGAAAUUCCACGUGUAGCAGUGAAAAUGCGUAGAGAUGUGGAGGAAUACCGAUGGCGAAGGCAGCCUCCUGGGCCAAACACUGACGCUCAU